rnacentral:rRNA from 1 species
GACGAACGCUGGCGGCGUGCUUAACACAUGCAAGUCGAACGGAAAGGCCCUUUCGGGGGUGCUCGAGUGGCGAACGGGUGAGUAACACGUGGGUGAUCUGCCCUGAACUUUGGGAUAAGCCUGGGAAACUGGGUCUAAUACCGGAUAUGACCAGUGGGUGCAUGCUUGCUGGUGGAAAGCCUUGUGCGGUUUGGGAUGGGCCCGCGGCCUAUCAGCUUGUUGGUGGGGUAAUGGCCUACCAAGGCGACGACGGGUAGCCGACCUGAGAGGGUGAUCGGCCACACUGGGACGGAGACACGGCCCAGACUCCUACGGGAGGCAGCAGUGGGGAAUAUUGCACAAUGGGCGCAAGCCUGAUGCAGCGACGCCGCGUGA